rnacentral:ncRNA from 1 species
AUCCGAUAAAAGCAAACUUAUGGUAACAUAGGGACGCAAAGCUAAAGGAGACAAUAAAUGUCUAGCCUGGCUGCCGGG